UGUCUGCAUGUGUAUAUGUCUGUGUGCGUGUGUGUGUGUAUGUGUCCAGAGUUCAGCUGAGACAGUGUCCUUCGCCCUGCCAGGCUAAGUAAACAGUCUUCCAGCCAACCCAGGUGGCCUUGCAUAGAAAGGGAAGAACAGUCUCAACACAGUCGUUAUCAGGGUGUUUUGUUCAGCUCCAGCCUUGAGAGUCCGCAGCUGGCGCCGAAGGGAUCUCCGCAUGAAGUGAUGGUGGUUUUUACUUUAGUGCGAACAACUCCUAUGAAUUUCAAAGCUGUUCUAACAGUCCGACAUUGGUCUCUCAAUCUCCCGUUGGAGAGCUGUGAGCUUCUCCAUGGUGUUAUCAAACUUACACUCCGUGAUGUUGUCAUUCUUGUGCACUUCCCAAGAUGUGAUCCAGUUUUCGCUCAGAGGUGUUAUUCCGAGCGAGCCCCUCCAGAUGUAAUCCAGUUUGCACUCAGAGGUCUUAUUCUGAGUAUUCACGGCAGCCGUGCGGCUGCCAUACUUCACAACUGUGAAGCUAUCAUAUUUCCAGAAUGAGGAAAGAAAUCUGCUAACUUCUCUUUAGUCCAUAAAACACUUUGAGCAUUACAAACGUCCGGAUGGGAGAUGUGCACGAGAGGAGGUCCGGCAGAUCUCGGUGUCUGACCAUUUCACUAACUCUUGUAGUAGAGCUGGGCGAUAGAACGAUAACGAUAUGUAUUGCGAAAUAACUUUUUCUCCAUAGAAAAAUUAAACUAUUGUGAUAGACCUCGUCUCUCUCUUGCUCUCUUAAAAAAAGAAAAGAAAAGAAGAACAGCCAAUCCAAAUUAAGUAGCGCAGAGCCGAACCAAUCACAGCCGCAGCAUCAUGUCACGUGACUUGUUACGUACAGCACAAGUGCCAAGCCGCACAUGUGUAUUUGUUUGGGAAGCAGCCAGCCGCCGUGCCGCCCCGGUAAUGGAGGAAAUGAGUGUGCCGACUAGAGAAAAAUCAACCGAGAGCGUGGGUGACCAGGUUACCGAAGAGAAAACAGAUGAUGGUUCCAAUGCCGGAGAGAUUGUCGAACGGAAGGACCAUAGAAGUUCCGUAGUGCGAAGGUAUUUGGUAGUGAUGUGUCGGUCGCGAACGAAAUGGCUCUUAGAGCCGGAUCUUUGAAGUGAACGACGCGAGCCGGCUCCUUAUCGAGAUCCGUGGGGUUUUUUCUUUCUUUCUCUCACCCUCUCUCUCGCACUUUUUUUCCGCCUCACUCCGCACGUGAGCCUUGUGCUUCGCGCUGGGAAGAGGGGGGAGGGGCGGUAGUUACACUCGCACUAGCUAGAGAACAGAGCGGGAGGGAGAGACAGAGAAAGAGAACCAGGGACAACAACGUCACAUUAGAAAGGUAUAGUAAUCAUCAACAACUAUUUUCAGUUGCGGAUGAUAAAGGAUUCAGAAAGUUCA
ensembl:lncRNA